CAGCAGCCACGGGAAUACGAGGGGGGCGAGCGUUGUUCGGAAUUAUUGGGCGUAAAGGGUGCGUAGGCGGUUCGGUAAGUCUUAUGUGAAAUCUUCGGGCUCAACUCGAAGUCUGCAUGAGAAACUGCCGGGCUUGAGUGUGGGAGAGGUGAGUGGAAUUUCCGGUGUAGCGGUGAAAUGCGUAGAUAUCGGAAGGAACACCUGUGGCGAAAGCGGCUCACUGGACCACAACUGACGCUGAUGCACGAAAGCUAGGGGAGCAAACAGGAUUAGAUACCCGCGUAGUCCCUGUCUCUUAUAC
rnacentral:rRNA from 1 species